rnacentral:rRNA from 1 species
UAGUCUGGGAUACCACUUGGAAACAGGUGCUAAUACCGGAUAAGAAAGCGGAUCGCAUGAUCAGCUUUUAAAAGGCGGCGUAAGCUGUCGCUAUGGGAUGGCCCCGCGGUGCAUUAGCUAGUUGGUAAGGUAAAGGCUUACCAAGGCGAUGAUGCAUAGCCGAGUUGAGAGACUGAUCGGCCACAUUGGGACUGAGACACGGCCCAAACUCCUACGGGAGGCAGCAGAG